GUGCUUCUAGCUCAGGGGUAGAGCGUUCGCUUUGUAUUGUCAAAUCCGCGAAAGGCCCUUGGGUCCGAUUCCCAAACUGUCCA